ensembl:lncRNA
UGUUCCUCGCCAGCCUGCAUAGGGGGUGAGAGCAUAAUCCUCCUUGGGGAUUCAAAUAUGACACAACCGCUGUGCUGUCCGUCCUGAUUAACACUUGACAGCCAUUCUUCAGUCUUGAAAAAUAUUGGAGAGCUAGAAGACCGCCUGCUGCUCCAAUCUGUUUAUGUGUCACCCUCGCUGUGCCUCUGUCCAAGUCCUGUGGGCUGGGCGUCCUUGACAAACAGCCCCCCAACCUGUCAAUGACGCGUCUGUCGUGACAGUCUCAUGGCAAAAACAGUCCCCUAAUCGAACUCUUUUCCGAAGAAAUUUGGCCGACAUCCAAGUCUUUAUCUUCAGAACACACCUGUGUUCUUUUGUUUGAUGCGGAUAACAACGGGAUGAAUACGGAAAACUCCGUUUGAUGCGGAUAACAACGGGAUGAAAUCCUUUGGCUUUUUGUCCACCACUGAAAUGGACGCAUGUGAAGUAAGCCUAAACGCAUUACAGGGGAUGCUGCUGCCAUUAGACCCAAAAGUCUGAGGCACAAACUCACCGUCACUGUGCGGCCUGUUUUGAAAUGGCGAAGGCAUGACAUGAAAGACUGAAUGCGUGGGGGAGACAAUUGUGUCCUCAUUGCGCGAGAGUCCAGAUCUAUCCCCAAAAAAGGUUAUCCGCUUGGAGGGGAUAAAAACACUUUUUGGAAAUUCAUUAAAAAGCUUGAAAGUGUAUUAAUAAAAAACACACUGGUUGAGUGGAGCCCAAGGAACCAAGGUCUAACCAACUCUAAGAGAGGGAAUGAAGCUGAGCGCGAAACCCUUACCAUAUAGGAUUUCAGAAAGUGCGUAGAGUCUUGCGUGCACACUUAGCACUUACGUGGAUUUUAGAAAGUACAGAGAGCUUAGCGUGUGUACUUUAAUGCAUAAACCCAGGCUGCUUAGAUGAUUCAGCACGAGAUCUCGAUGAGAGCGUGCUUGAGUCUGUAAUUGUGCUAAUAGUAGCCAAUCGUCUAGGCAAAGGAGCCACAAUGGGGCCAGAACUGUGUCCAUGCAUUUCAUGAAAGUCCAUGGAGGGGCUAAACUGAAGAGAAAAACACGGAAUUGAUAAGCUUUGUCCUCCAAAGCGAAUUUGAGUAACUUCCUCUCUCUUGAUGAUCUGAAUAUGAAAGUAUGCAUCCUUCAGAUCAAUUAUGAGAAACCAAUUGUUUGGUUGAAUCUGAGACAGAAUAGAUUUUAUCAUCAACAUCUUGAAUUUGCUCAUCCUGAGUGCAAGAUUCAAAUGGCAUAAAGCAAAUAUUGGUAGUUUUUUUUUUUUUUUAACAAAAUAUCGGCUGUAAGAACCUGACUCCAUCUGAGAGGGGUGUACUUCAUCUAUAGCCCGUUUUCUCAGUAGAGAUGACAUCUCUUGUCGCAGCACUGCGGUUUCUUCUAAACUCACAAUCAAGGGAAGAAUAUCACGGAGAGGAGGCGGGCGGGAAACUGAAUGGUGUACCCGUAACAAACUGUGCGUAACACCCAUUGGGGAAUGUAGGGCAAGCGUUCCCACACGGCCCGAAAAAGCUUAAUGGUCUUAAUGGUCUUAAGACCUCCGUCUGCGGCUGUGGUGUCUCCACAUGCGUUAGAAUUUCUGAGCCCGGAAAGCUUGCGGCGUCCAUAAGCACAGGAAAUUUAUGUCAAAGUUGCUUUGCGUUUCGGUGUAUAUAAUCCUGAAGCGUGUUUACAGCCAAAUUUAUUCCAACAGGAUGCACAUUGGGCCCCGCUGCUAGCGAGAAAGCGGCAGCUUGUGGGCCGUCAUAAAACAGGUCAUCUUUACCAGACCUUUGGGCCGUCCCUCGAACUUUGAAGGUUGAAGUGCGCAGAUUGUCUGAGUGGUAGCUCGGUCCAACGCUGCUUGAAGCGCAUUUGCGGCGAGACAGUCAAUGUUAGAGUUUUUUUUUUUAAGAGAUCUGGCUGCAUCCAUAAGAAAAGAUAUAUUCUUUUCUUUAAUACUGGUGAGGUUGAGCCAAAGGUGGUGCUAAACCGUCUCCAUGGAGCGUGGCAGCCGCCUGACCUGAAGCUGAGUAAAAUUUCUCGCCGAGAUCAGACGUGACUCGACACGCCUUCGAAGGAAGCAGGGGCGAGACUUCCAGGCCGCGGCCGAGUUCGGCGCGAGAUGUUCGGCUAGAGUGUAACCUUACUUUUCUAGAUUCUCCAGGACUGAUUUCAUGUAAUUUUAUAUCAAAUAAAAAGAUUCAGGGUGGUAAAAACUUUUUCAAGGCACUUCAGUGUCUAUAACUUUUAAUAUUUUUGAGCAUUAUCAACUUCAAGUAAACUUCAUAAUUCCAUCAUGUUAUCAUUUUUUUUUUACUAAGACUAAAAGAAUGUUAGUUUUUGUAGAUGUUGAAAGCCAGAGACAAGAUAACUUAAGUCUUUUGAGACUGAUGUGAGUUUCUGUUGUGUCCUGCCUGUUUACUUCACAUUUUGAUGCAACAACAGUAUGAUUACAUGUUCAUAUUUUAUUUAAACCAUUGAUGUCCCUUUUUUCUUUGCAGAACUCAAACUAACUUUGGAGUUAAGGACACAGAAGCCUGCUUGUGUGAGGAAGAGGUGAUUUUAUCAGCUUCUUUGGAAGAGAGGGAAAGACCGUUUAAGAACUCAAACCAACUUUGGAGUUGUCUGAUUUGGAGAGUCAUCAUUCUUGGUCUUCUCUCUUAAAGGAAUAGUUCACGCAAAAAAAUCAUUUACUUGCCCUUAUGUCAUUCCAAACCUAUAAGACUUUUGUCUGUCUUUACAACACAAAUGAAUAUAUUUUUCAUUUUCUCAUAAUUUUUAGUUAAUCCAUUAAGAGUCUAGAUAAUGAGUUAUUGUAAAAGUAAUCCAUUCGGAUAUUUAUAUAUAAAUAAAUCUUAAAUUAUAUGAUAGCGAACAUAUAUGUUCAAAAGAAAAUAUUGGUCUCCCAGACUAGCAAUGGAGGACAAAAAUUAAGAGAAUAUUAAAUAUAUUUAUUUGUGUUCCAAAAAUUAGCAGAGUUUGUAUGGUUCUGGAACAACAUGGGGGAGAGUAAAUUAUGACCAUUUUAAUUUUUUUGUGGACUAACCCUUUGAAGAGCAGCCCUCCAGUACAUGAGAAUUUGUAUGUCAUGUCUGUUUUAAUAUUUCAGUAAAGAAUUCGCUUUCUGAAAGCAAUAUAUUUAUUCAAACAAUAUCACAUGCGCCGUUUUAGACAGAGACAUUAAACAACCACACAAAGUGGUUGAAAUUAUAAAACAGAUUAUUUACCCAUCCUUACUGGUGUGAAUACAACUCUAUCUGAAAAUGGAUAGAGUUUAAUUUAAUGUUUCCUUUUUCAAAUGUGUUUCUCUUUUUAGGCCACUGAUGAAGAACAGGCGGUGACUGGGAUUUGUAGGUUUAAUGCCUAGCUCAAUUUGGGUUCAUUUGAGCCUAUUGCAAUGUAGUAAUUUUAAACCAUAAAAAAGAAACCCAGCAUGCUGGGUUAAACAUAAUAACCCAACUAGUUGGGUUAAAAUAACCCAGCGUUGGGUUUGUCCCUUUUUGACCAAGCGCUAGGUUGCCAAAAUAACCCAAAUUGGGUUGUUUUCAACCCAGCAGUUAGAGUGUAAUUUACGAAAAGUCUCUUAUUUCUCAUAAUAUUUUACAUUUUACAGUGGUAACAGUACAUAUACAUAUUACGGAAAAUUUAUUUUUCAGUAUAACCUUUUAAAGUAAUUAUAAAUUAAAUAUUUAAAUUAUUAAAUUAUAAUUACUUGAUAUGAAGAAUUAGUAGCAAGUCCAUAAGAACAAGUAGUAAUCAUGAAAAUAUAAAGCUAAAUUCUAUAAAAUCUAUUAAAUAUUUAAUGAAUAAAAAUGAUAUUUUAGGCAUAGAACAAAAUACAUAAUGAUAUGAGAAGUGUAUACCAUAGAGUUUUUUUUUUUUUUUUAAAUUUGCACUUUUCGAAGCUGUUGUAAGCUGUAUAAAAAACACAAGGUGGCUGAAUUUGCAUGCUAUUUAGACACAUUAGCUGAAGCUUAUAGACGUUCAUUAUUUUCACUUAAUUUAAUUAGUUUUUAGCAGCCCCUCUGAACUGUUAAGCCCCUCCUUAGCACCCUGAAAAAAAAAAAUCCUGGAGCCGCCACUGUUAAGUGCGAUAGUCAGCAUUCAAAUAAAUUUGAUCGUGAAUAAAUGUUACAUGUGCAUAAUUUAAAAUAGGCCUACAAGAAAACAUUUUUAUGCAUCCUAGUCAUGUAAGUCCAUUAACUUUGCAACAUUCGAUCUCUUUACUUAACGUUCUGAAUACUUUUGUAAAUAAUAGCCUAUUGUAAAUGCUCGACAUGAAAAUGCUACCAUGUCAUUCCAUGUUUGUUUUCAUAGUCUUGUUUCAGUUUAUAGUUUUCAUAGUCUUGUUUCAGUUUACAGUUUUCAUAGUCUUGUUUAAGUUUAUAGUUUUCAUAGUCUUGUUUCAGUUUAUAGUUUUUCAUAGUUUUGUCUUUUUCUUGCUUUGCCCUGUUACUCGUGUUUUGACCCUUUGCUCUGAAUUCUGGAUUACCUCUCUUGCUUAGCCC